GCGGCGUGCCUAAUACAUGCAAGUCGAACGAACUCUGGUAUUGAUUGGUGCUUGCAUCAUGAUUUACAUUUGAGUGAGUGGCGAACUGGUGAGUAACACGUGGGAAACCUGCCCAGAAGCGGGGGAUAACACCUGGAAACAGAUGCUAAUACCGCAUAACAACUUGGACCGCAUGGUCCGAGUUUGAAAGAUGGCUUCGGCUAUCACUUUUGGAUGGUCCCGCGGCGUAUUAGCUAGAUGGUGGGGUAACGGCUCACCAUGGCAAUGAUACGUAGCCGACCUGAGAGGGUAAUCGGCCACAUUGGGACUGAGACACGGCCCAAACUCCUACGGGAGGCAGCAGUAGGGAAUCUUCCACAAUGGACGAAAGUCUGAUGGAGCAACGCCGCGUGAGUGAAGAAGGGUUUCGGCUCGUAAAACUCUGUUGUUAAAGAAGAACAUAUCUGAGAGUAACUGUUCAGGUAUUGACGGUAUUUAACCAGAAAGCCACGGCUAACUACGUGCCAGCAGCCGCGGUAAUACGUAGGUGGCAAGCGUUGUCCGGAUUUAUUGGGCGUAAAGCGAGCGCAGGCGGUUUUUUAAGUCUGAUGUGAAAGCCUUCGGCUCAACCGAAGAAGUGCAUCGGAAACUGGGAAACUUGAGUGCAGAAGAGGACAGUGGAACUCCAUGUGUAGCGGUGAAAUGCGUAGAUAUAUGGAAGAACACCAGUGGCGAAGGCGGCUGUCUGGUCUGUAACUGACGCUGAGGCUCGAAAGUAUGGGUAGCAAACAGGAUUAGAUACCCUGGUAGUCCAUACCGUAAACGAUGAAUGCUAAGUGUUGGAGGGUUUCCGCCCUUCAGUGCUGCAGCUAACGCAUUAAGCAUUCCGCCUGGGGAGUACGGCCGCAAGGCUGAAACUCAAAGGAAUUGACGGGGGCCCGCACAAGCGGUGGAGCAUGUGGUUUAAUUCGAAGCUACGCGAAGAACCUUACCAGGUCUUGACAUACUAUGCAAAUCUAAGAGAUUAGACGUUCCCUUCGGGGACAUGGAUACAGGUGGUGCAUGGUUGUCGUCAGCUCGUGUCGUGAGAUGUUGGGUUAAGUCCCGCAACGAGCGCAACCCUUAUUAUCAGUUGCCAGCAUUAAGUUGGGCACUCUGGUGAGACUGCCGGUGACAAACCGGAGGAAGGUGGGGAUGACGUCAAAUCAUCAUGCCCCUUAUGACCUGGGCUACACACGUGCUACAAUGGAUGGUACAACGAGUUGCGAACUCGCGAGAGUAAGCUAAUCUCUUAAAGCCAUUCUCAGUUCGGAUUGUAGGCUGCAACUCGCCUACAUGAAGUCGGAAUCGCUAGUAAUCGCGGAUCAGCAUGCCGCGGUGAAUACGUUCCCGGGCCUUGUACACACCGCCCGUCACACCAUGAGAGUUUGUAACACCCAAAGUCGGUGGGGUAACCUUUUAGGAACCAGCCGCCUAAGGUGGGACAG
rnacentral:rRNA from 2 species